rnacentral:rRNA from 1 species
UACGUAGGGUGCGAGCGUUAAUCGGAAUUACUGGGCGUAAAGGGUGCGUAGGUGGUCGUUUAAGUCCGUUGUGAAAUCCCUGGGCUCAACCUGGGAAUGGCAGUGGAUACUGGACGGCUAGAAUGCGGUAGAGGGUAGUGGAAUUCCCGGUGUAGCAGUGAAAUGCGUAGAGAUCGGGAGGAACACCAGUGGCGAAGGCGGCCAUCUGGGACAACACUGACGCUGAGGCACGAAAGCGUGGGGAGCAAACAGG